GGGUAGAGCACUGUUUCGGCUAGGGGGCCAUCCCGGCUUACCAACCCGAUGCAAACUGCGAAUACCGGAGAAUGUUAUCACGGGAGACACACGGCGGGUGCUAACGUCCGUCGUGAAGAGGGAAACAACCCAGACCGCCAGCUAAGGUCCCAAAGUCAUGGUUAAGUGGGAAACGAUGUGGGAAGGCCCAGACAGCCAGGAUGUUGGCUUAGAAGCAGCCAUCAUUUAAAGAAAGCGUAAUAGCUCACUGGUCGAGUCGGCCUGCGCGGAAGAUGUAACGGGGCUAAACCAU
rnacentral:rRNA from 6 species